UUUACUUCUCUGGUUUUUUUAGGUAACAUUCGGCCCAUCCCAGAUCUUCCCGACCCGGUAAGCUUCACCCUCCGGUUUUCUCAACCACGAGGUCGACCCCGUGUAUUGGCUCGUGAAAAGGGGAGACGAGGCGAGGCAACGGCGGCGAUGGCGGCGGGGAAAGGCGACGGCGGUGGGGAAAGAACGCACAAAUCACAACGGCGGCGUCGAGGUACUCCUCCGGCGACUGGUCCCCGCUGGAGGCCCUCUGACGGCAGCGUGGUUUCCGGCGUUUGGCGGCGAGCGUGCCAGACUUCUAAUGUUCUUCAAACUACAUGACAAUGAGUUUAUGGCGGCAGUUGCUUAUCUGUUGGGUCGAACAUUUAUUUAUAUGUGUGUUCUAGUUCGAGAAAAUUGUAUGACAAAAUUGCAUGAUACUGAGUUUAUGUUAAAGACGGAGUUUUUAAUUUA